AGCGAACGCUGGCGGCAGGCUUAACACAUGCAAGUCGAGCGGGCCCUUCGGGGUCAGCGGCGGACGGGUGAGUAACGCGUGGGAACGUGCCUUCUGGUUCGGAAUAACCCUGGGAAACUAGGGCUAAUACCGGAUACGCCCUUAUGGGGAAGGGUUUACUGCCGGAAGAUCGGCCCGCGUCUGAUUAGCUAGUUGGUGGGGUAACGGCCUACCAAGGCGACGAUCAGUAGCUGGUCUGAGAGGAUGAUCAGCCACACUGGGACUGAGACACGGCACAGACUCCUACGGGAGGCAGCAGUGGGGAAUAUUGGACAAUGGGCGCAAGCUUGAUCCAGCCAUGCCGCGUGAGUGAUGAAGGCCUUAGGGUUGUAAAGCUCUUUUAUCCGGGACGAUAAUGACGGUACCGGAGGAAUAAGCCCCGGCUAACGUCGUGCCAGCCGCCGCCGUAA
rnacentral:rRNA from 1 species